CCUACACCCCAAGGACGCACAUCUACACCACAACACCCUGUGGAUUGCAGCCCUGGAAGAUGGAGCAAGCAGAGUACUUCACAGCACCAUGUCAAUUUCAAUAGAUUUUUAAGGUCAAGAAGGCAGAGAAGAUCAAGUGGCUGACUGAAGAGAAAGUCGAGCUGAGGGCACAUUUGGCUCUACAAUCAGGCCCAUGUAAUUCACUUCACUUGUGCCACAUGGGCACAAUGAGUGAAGAACUGCGUGAGCUGUUGAACAAGAUGGCCACUGUGCUCGCUUGUGUCCAAGCAAAUGGCUUGGAGGGGGAGUUGUCGUUCCACAAUGUUUAGGGUAUUCAGCUCCCCUUGGACAACCUGGAAGACCUGCAGCAGUUUGAUUCACAGUUGAGGCAAGGAUGGCAGGAAGCUGAAGUACACAGAGUGGACGAUGCUACCGUGCGUCAUUACAAAUGCUCUUGUCCUCUUGAUCAUCUGGACUGGAGCUAGGAACAAGCAACUUAUAGGACUUUUUUCCUCAGGGACUAUUCUUCUAAGAGCAAUAGGAGGAGCAAAGGAAGAAACCUUCCAACCGGGAUGCCACUGACGAGGCUGUCACCAGUUACUUGAAAGUGGCAGCUUACCGUGCAGGUGGUAGAAGAGAUUGCGGCGGUAUAAGGGACCUGCCGUGAAUAUGAAUGACACAGCUCCAGCACAACCAAUAUUGCUGCUAAUCUACAGUACUUUUUUUAAACUGCUGCUAUGUACAGUGUUAUGUAUAUGAUUGCAUUAUCCUCUUGCUAUAUCCUCUUGCUGCGAAUGUUGUUCUUAAUUCUCACUGUAGUCAAAUACUGUAAUAUUUCUGUAUCUGCUGCUGGACAGAUGUAUAUUGCACAUGUUUUCUUGUACUGUUAGAUUUUUAAAUGUAUUUCAAUUCAUUUGCACAUGUUUAUUUUGUAUGCUUGCUGUAUAAUGCAUGUUUUUUUGUAUACAUUUUGCACUAUUUUAAAUAAAUUUUGUUCAUUGUCAUUUAUGAUAUGACCAAAAGUAUUAUAAAGUAUUACUAUAAAUAAAACCUAAUAUUGGUGCAUGAUGUCUAGAACAUGCAUGCAGGAGCGUGUUUGACAUGCUCUGAGGAAGUUUCAAUUUACUUAAACCCGUUUGCUUCUUAAUUUCAGUAUGUUUAACCCUAGUUGAGAGUGG
ensembl:lncRNA